ACGAGUGGCGAACUGGUGAGUAACACGUGGGCCCCUUGCCCCGAAGCGGGGGAUAACAUUUGGAAACAGGUGCUAAUACCGCAUAACAACAAAAACCACAUGGUUUUUGUUUAAAAGAUGGUUUCGGCUAUCACUUUGGGAUGGACCCGCGGCGUAUUAGCUAGUUGGUGAGGUAAUGGCUCACCAAGGCAAUGAUACGUAGCCGACCUGAGAGGGUAAUCGGCCACAUUGGGACUGAGACACGGCCCAAACUCCUACGGGAGGCAGCAGUAGGGAAUCUUCCACAAUGGACGAAAGUCUGAUGGAGCAACGCCGCGUGAGUGAUGAAGGGUUUCGGCUCGUAUUACUCUGUUGUUGGAGAAGAACGGGUGUCAGAGUAACUGUUGACAUCGUGACGGUAUCCAACCAGAAAGCCACGGCUAACUACGUGCCAGCAGCCGCGGUAAUACGUAGGUGGCAAGCGUUGUCCGGAUUUAUUGGGCGUAAAGCGAGCGCAGGCGGUUUUUUAGGUCUGAUGUGAAAGCCUUCGGCUUAACCGGAGAAGUGCAUCGGAAACCGGGAGACUUGAGUGCAGAAGAGGACAGUGGAACUCCAUGUGUAGCGGUGAAAUGCGUAGAUAUAUGGAAGAACACCAGUGGCGAAGGCGGCUGUCUGGUCUGCAACUGACGCUGAGGCUCGAAAGCAUGGGUAG
rnacentral:rRNA from 1 species